AUGCUGCUCUGUGCACUUAUCAUGCUUUCAUCACUUGCAGGAGACGUAAUAGGUGAAGUGAUAAAAUCUCACGGUUCUGAAAAAGCAGCUCAAGAUGGUACCAAUGUUACUCUGUCCUGCAACUACACAGGAGUGGUUUAUAAUCUACUAUGGUAUCGUCAGUAUAAGAGAUCCAAACCUGAACUGCUUCUCUCCAUCACUGAAUCUGGAGACGCAGUUAAAGCAGACCCAUCAGCCCACUGGCUAUCAGCUACAGUUAACAAACAAAGCAAACUCACGGAACUGGAAAUCAACCCUACCAAAGUGACUGACUCUGCUGUGUAUUACUGUGCCCUGAAGCCCACAGUGACAGGAAAACACUCUUCCUCUGCACAAAAUCAUUCUGUAUUUUAA